CAAUUUUUAAUAAAAAUCUGUACAUACAUUAAACCUAAUCCCUGUGAAGCAUAUCCAUGAAAAUCCCUCUUUUUGGACCUCUGUUCACAGAAAUUAAAGAUUUUAUACUUAAGUGUAAUUUAAUUUAAUCCUAAAUUUGCUUAAGAAAAUCACUGAAUCCUACCUGAGUGGAAGAACACUUAGAAGUGAAGAUUGGGAAUUUUGCUUUGGAAUUAGAGGUUUCUUUUGCUUUAGAGGAGGGACUUGGGUAAAGCUACAGGAGAGAUGAUCCCAGUGCCUACUGCAGUUCUUCAGGGAAGAAUGUUUCUAACCACAAGUGGUCCCUGGAGAAAUUCCAGUAGCUGAUGAUAAUUAACAUCUUCCACUCCAGUGGCUUCACAUGCUUGCAGCUGUUGAGAAGGGGUGGCAGCGAGGCUGUUCGGGUGAGCUUCAAAGGGCUACCAGAAAAGCAGUUCUAAAAAUACAUUUGUAAAGCUAUUGUUGGUGGCUGAACUGGGGACUUUCAACGUUUCCACAGGAGUCUGUGUUACUUGCCUUAGCUUCGUAGAGAAUUACUGUUGAAGCAGUCUGUUUUGAAACGUAAAAACUAGGUUUUCACCUUCUGCUACUGAGGCAAAAUGCAUUAAAAGGAUAAAGGUCAAAAGGACACUGGCUCGAGUGCUGACUCCCCUCUGGGAUUAGUUCAACAUAAAAGGUGCACUUUCAGUACUGUGCAGGCAGCUUUAGUUGUGAAACUCCCCUGUACACUAAUAGAAGCCACGUGGCUGAAACACCAUAUAUCGAAAGUAAUGAUUUGUAAAAAUAGCUUUUCAUUACAGCUGAAAGUCGGAAAAUGAUGUGUUAAUAUAGUUCCAUUAGCUGAGUGUUACUGCCAAAAUGAGCAAGUGACAGCUCUUUGUUUCUCCUGCGCUUCUAUCUGGUAUUUUAAUAUCGUUAAAUGUUACUUCUCUGGGAUCCUCCUCUUCAUACUCCCCCCACACUAGGUUGGUUUUCAACAGCACAGAGCUUGAAAAGUAGAAUUCAGCAGAUCAUUCAGAAUAUUACUAUACUUUUUAUGUCACAAACCAAGAGGGCCAUCUGAGUCCUGUGACAAGCUGGUGCUGAUACAGGACAGAAGAGAGACUUGGGGUUCCAGGCUGGAGCAAGAUGAGCGGAGUCAACUACAUUUAAGCACAAAAAUAACAACCCCUGCAAAGGUGAUCUUCAUCAAGAGUUACUGCUGGCUCAAGGAACUCUCCUGUGAAACUUCCUCUCAAGGCUGCAUGACAGAUUCAGAUCCUUAGGCAGGGGAAAGGCCUAACCAUCCCGAGAGGAAUCUGGGUAUGGUAGGGUGAGAUGGCCCAUAGAAACCCAUAUGUGGUGACUGCAGCCAUC